rnacentral:tRNA from 1 species
GCCCUUGUAGCUUAAUGGAUAAAGCAGUCCCCUCCUAAGGGAAAGAGUGCCAGUUCGACUCUGGCCUCGGGCGCCA